GAUGAAGAACGCAGUGAAAUGCGAUACUUGGUGUGAAUUGCAGAAUCCCGUGAACCAUCGAGUCUUUGAACGCAAGUUGCGCCCGAAGCCAUUAGGCCGAGGGCGCGCCUGCCUGGGCGUCACACGUCGUUGCCCCCCCAUCUACUCCUUCGGGAUUGCGGGGGGCGGAUGAUGGCCUCCCGUGCGCCUCGUCGCGCGGUUGGCAUAAAUGCCAAGUCCUCGGCGACGCACGCCACGACAAUCGGUGGUUGCGAAACCUCGGUUGCCCGUCGUGUGCGGUCGUCGCGCAUCGAGGGCUCGAAAAAAUUGCCGGGCUCCGGCUCGGCUUUCAACGCGACCCCAGGUCAGGCGGGGUUACCCGCUGAAUUUAAGCAUAUCAAUAAGCGGAGGA
rnacentral:misc_RNA from 1 species